UUUGUUGUCGGGAAUAUAAGAUCAAUUGAAUAAAUCUUACAUUUGGUAUCAGAGCCUUUCUGCCUCUGCCUUGCUCAUUGUUCCAAUUUUUCCAUUUUCGGUAAAAUUUGAAGAUUUCAUUUUAAUUUAAGUUUAAAACAUUGUUAUUGCAAAAUAUUAUGAGAAAUCUUCGUUUCAUUGAGUUUCUAAGCUUUAUGUUAUUUGAGUCAUUCGAAAUAGUGCCCAGGAUAUCAAGAAUUGUUUCCAAGUUUGAGAUUUUAAGUUUUGGGUAUUUUGUUUUAAACCCUUUUAGUCAAAAUUAAAAUUGCAAUUGUGUUGGAAAUAAUUUGUAAGGUUUUUAUGGGUUAAUGAUUGUC
rnacentral:lncRNA from 1 species